rnacentral:rRNA from 1 species
GUACACGCUGUGACUAGCAUAUCAAUAAGCGGAGGAAAAGAAACUAACAAGGAUUCCCCUAGUAACGGCGAGUGAAGCGGGAAGAGCUCAACUUUGAAAUCUUAAAGGGUUUCCCUUUACGAAUUGUAGUUUAAAGAAGUGUUUUCUGUUGAGGUUUUGGUGAAAGUUCUUUGGAAUAGGACAUCAUAGAGGGUGAGAAUCCCGUAUUUGACCUUUACUUUCAACUUUGUGAUACACUUUCAAAGAGUCGGAUUGUUUGGGAAUGCAGUCCAAAAUGGGUGGUAAAUUUCAUCUAAAGCUAAAUAUUGGCGAGAGACCGAUAGCGAACAAGUACCGUGAGGGAAAGAUGAAAAGAACUUUGAAAAGAGAGUUAAACAGUACGCUGAAAUUGUCCAAAAGGGAAGCGUUUGACACCAGUGUUGUUUUUCUGAAAAUCAAUUAAAGAACUGUUUAUGCUAAGCUGUUUAGACUUUAUCAGCUAUCUGUUUAGUUUUGAGCUUUUCUUUAAUGCACUUUUCAGUUAACAAGUCAACAUCAAUUUCUUUUGCUGUAAAAAAGCUUGAGGAAGGUGGCUUGAGAUUCGUCUUAAGUGUUUAUAGCCUCUUGCCUAUGCAGUCGGAGAGAUUGAGGUCUGCAGCGUAGAUCCUUCGGGGCUAAAUGCAUUUGUGCCUAAGUUAUAGCAUUUUAUAGACAACUUGUUGACUAUGAUUUGUCUUGUAGCUUACUCGCUUAUGUUAUUUUACCUACGCUUAGGAUGUUGAGUCGUAGAGCACGCAG